rnacentral:tRNA from 1 species
GCCGAAGUGGCGGAAUGGCAGACGCGACGGAUUCAAAAUCCGUUACUCGCAAGAGUGUGUGGGUUCAAGUCCCUCCUUCGGCA